rnacentral:tRNA from 1 species
GUCCCGGGUAGCCUAGUGGACAUGGCAUCUGCCCGGUAAGCGGAACAUUGUAGGUUCGAUUCCCAUCCCUGGACA